CCCGCAGACCCCGAGGGCGAAGCAGCACCGAGUCGUAAACAGGGUUGUUAUUACUCAGGUACGGUGUGAUGAACUUUAUUAAUCCCGGUGUGGGGAAUUAUUAUUGUAUUAUUGAUCCUUAAUACAUGGAAGUAUUAUAGCACAGCGGUGACACGGGAAACGAACGUGACCAUGUCAUGGUGGAACGAAUUAUGAUGAACCAGGCUGUGGGGCAUCUGCUGACCACUCCCCUGCGAUGGACCGUACCCACGUCUGAUGUUUUCCUCACCACUCCACAUUCCCCACCUCGCAGGAAUGCGUCUGCGGGGAACUACAGUACCCACAAUGCCCCAGGCCUGCGCUACCAGGAUUAAUCAUGGCUAGUUUGGUAAUUUGGAGAACCUAACCCAAACACAGGGUGGCGUUGUGCAAUCCUCAACUGGCCUGUGAUUGGCUGGAGGUUAUAAAGCGGGACAUUAAUAUCUCGUGUGUGUGAACGUAGACACACACUUGCACACACACUCACAGGACGCAGCAACAGGUUUCAUCAUGAUGCCGUGCGUGUUCCUCAUCCUUCUCCUUCCACCUGUUCUCUCUGUGCCGGUGCCGCAGUAUAAAAUAGACAGCAACAGCAAUAGCAUGGAGUCCAUCCCUCGCCCUCCAGUCAUUCCAAUAGUCCCUCGACCUCCAGUGUCCAAUCCAAUCGCACCGCGGGCGGGUCCACGGAUCCCGCCUCUCAGCCCUCUUAAACCACCCACUACAACGCGGCAGAUGCCCAUCCGGAGCGCCUCUCCCGUCCCCGGUGCCGCAAACGCAGGUUUACUCCAGGCACCCGACAAGGUCACUCUCUCCACAGCCACAGGGCUGCCUCAGCAGUCCAGUCCCCCCCAGGUCCAUUCCGUCAACUUUGUCCUCAACUUGCCGUCUGGCAUGUCUGUGCCACUGAGCACGAUGCCCGUUUCCCCGGGAUCCGCCGUACGGCCAGUCAUGGGAACUCCUCUCGCCCCCGGCGCUGUGGCCCCGGGCACAACCAACAUGACCACGCCUGUUACUCUCGCCAUCAUGUGCCCAGAAUUUCCUGCGGGGUCCUCGGCGUCCUCGUUCAUGCCGGGCACAAUGUCAACGGCUAAUCCCGGCUACCUGGUCCCGGGAUAUCCAUUAGCACCUGGCAGGACCUGGCCUGUAAAUCCUGGCAUCAUGGUCCCAGGUUCAGGCUACGGGUACCCCCUAGCACCCCCUAGCAUGGCCUCGCCCUUUUAUCCCAACUUUGCAGCUCCUGGGUCCCCACUAGCGCCUGGCGCGAACCCCUUUUAUCCGCAGGGGUACCCAAUGAUACCCGGCAUGAACACACCCGUUAACCCUAACAUCGCCACACAGGGGCCCCCGCUAUCUCCUGGCAUGACCUCACCUAUUAAUCCUAACAUUGCUGCACAGGGGUCCCCACUAACUCCAGGGAUGACCUCGCCCUUCUUUGUACCACCAGCCUAUCCCCAGACAUCUGGCAUGACAUCCCCCGGGAAUCCUGGGUACCUUUUUCCCGGCUCGUCCCGGACCCCCUCCUUGUCUGCCCCCUUUAACCCCAUGUUUGUUGCUCCUGGGUCCCCCAUGACCUCGCCAAGUAAUCCCGUCCCAUCACCGGACACGAGUCUGCCUCUCAUCCCACCCUUUGUAGUUCCGGCCCUGCCACAGCAGUCUGGCAUGAACCCGCUGUUCCCCCCUUUCCCGCCGGUGAGCAACCCUGGACCUGCCUUUCCCAGCUCUCCACAACGUCCUGGCCUCCAGGUACCUAACGCAACUCGUGUCCUUCUAACGGCAAUAUCGCUCAUUUCGUGCUUUUAG
rnacentral:lncRNA from 1 species